GGGCCGUUAGCUCAGCUGGUUAGAGCAGCGGACUCAUAAUCCGUUGGUCGCUGGUUCAAUCCCAGCACGGCCUACCA
rnacentral:tRNA from 1 species